CAGGGGGGGCCUCCCGAGAGCGGGGCCCAGGGGGACAAUCCCCUCCCUCGCCCUGCUGCCACGCUGCUGCUGCUGCAGCCCAGGGCACGCUUGGCUUUCGGGGCUGCCAGCGCAUGGGGCCGGCUCGUGGUUGUCGGGAGCUGCUUGCCUCUUCUUCCCCUGGUGGUCUUGGGGUGGAGAAUCAACUCAAUUUCUCACCCAUUGGGUGAGACCUCUCCAGAUUUUAUUGCACUUCUUAAUGCUUUGGAUGUGGUCUUCAGCAUGUGACUUGUGUGUGAGGAGAAGAGGAGCGUGAGGGUUUAUAUGUACUACAGAAAGAAACAUUGUUUUUCUAUGUCACAGACCUUUGGUGUUGGACCUGAGCACCUAAAUGUGCAAGGCUGGAGAUUUACCAAGACCCUGCACUCCCAGAAGCUGUGUCUACGCUAUGACCUUUGGAUGGCGGAGCUAUCAUGCUUGGAGAUGUAGAGGGCUGCAGAACUUGAGUUGGAAAAGACUUAGCGAGCACCUAGAUGAGCUUCUCCAUGGGCAGACAUGUAUGGGUGGGCUGGAGGAACAUCUACUCCUAGCAGCACAGCUACUGGAAGAAGCUGUCCCAUGGUUGGAAUCACCUGGUGUAAUGACCAUACUCAUGGGAUGCUUCUGAGGUAAAGACAACCUACCCAGGUGGAAGCACAUCCACAUUGGGAGUAGUUUCUGCUGUCAAAGACAAUGCUUGACUGACUUCACUUUCCGGUGGUGGAUGGGACAUCCUAAACCACAGGCUGAAUCGUAGGUCUCCUCACCCUCUGUGCACUUGAACCACAUCUCCCCAUGCAAGGCAUGCAGGAAGGGUUUCUGCUCUUUGCUGAUGUCUUUGUCCAGGCUGCAGCAGCUUCUAUUGUUUUCCUGCUUGUUUUACCAAUCUCAGUAAUAACAAUCUACUAUUUUUUUUUUCCUGGGUUAGCAACACUUCUUGGUUUAGCAACACCUGGAAAAGCAACUAAAGGCCUGCUCUGCCCAUCUCUACCCUCAAAGCCUGGCUCGGCGUGCACCAGGAAUGGAUUGGAGUGGGAUGCUGUCAGCGUUGGUCCAGGGAACACUUUCUGGUCUGGUGAGCUGGGUAAGCAGUGACAUCAUUCCCAUUAACGUUGGCUCCGUGGGGCUGCAAUUCGUCAGGCACCUCGCUGGGAAAGUGGCGGGGUCCUUUGCGAAACGACGCUGAAGGAAAUGCCUGAGCUGUAACCGUAAACAAUAGAAAUUGCUGUGCGUGUAUCUUUAUGAUCUAUAUCUAAUGCAAAUGCUGACUGUCUCCAAGGCAGUAAAACAUCACCCCCAGAGGAAAUAAUAACAAUUAUCUUAUAUUACCCGCAGCCAAUGUUUCUGUUAAAGCUUAAUAUUUAAGAACUACAUAAAGUAGGCAUGCAUGUGUAAACCAGAGUUUUAGCACCUAUGGAAGACACAUCUAAGCAUUAACCAGUAUUCCAAAAAGUCUUGAUUGAAUAACAAAUGCAAAGAAUUAUCUUUAUACCUUUGAUAAUGUUCACAGAGGUACUGACUAUUUUUAGCAAAGGGGCUGGAACUCAGGGGCUUGAUGCUGGUACCAUGAGAUACCACCACACAGUCCUGGGCUCAACGUGUUUAGGUGGACACGUGCACCUAUAUUUAAUGUAAGCAAGGCGCUAACAGGGUGAAUGAACUGUGAUGUGCAGCUAUGGAUCUGAAAUGAAGAAAUAAUAGAGGUUUCAACAAAUGGGUAAUCUCCAGAUGUACAUCUGUGUUCAUACACACAUACAGUUGUUAAGGAGUUGGAGAUAAACCUUGUUAUUUCCCACAUCCCACUACGGAUGCCUGAAAUUUCUCUAUGUAAGCAGGUCUGUUAAGUUCAGGAGAAAACAUGGACUUUCCCCUGCAUCAGAAACUUGGCUGCAAUGUCAGAGCCACGACUGCAGAGGAGACGUAGAAGAGAACCUGACUCAAGAAAAUUAAGUGCAUAUGAUUUGGAAUCCUGUAGUCUAAUUAAUUUCGUGUGCAAUUCUCUCAAAAACAACCAAGAAUGACUUGGAGCCAUUCUGCCUGUAACAGUUGUUGGGACCUCUUUACUAGUAGCACCAUGAACAUCAAACCUUUCUGUUGAGUGGUCCUAAUCCAUUGCUUGUGGGCCAGAUCCUGCUCACAGUCUUCUCUUAUCAGUCAUGCCUGGGGACAAGGAGAAAUAGAUAAAGUCAGUAGUGCUUGGGAGACACAGCCUAGCAGUGCCUGACUGCUGGCAGUCACUUUGAAUUACUUGGAUUAGCAGGACACUGAAGUCCUCUGAUGGACGGCUAGAGAUAUUUCAGUCUGGAGAACUCAUACAGCAGAGCCUUCCCUCCAAUACACAUGCAGAGGGGAGCAAUGUUUACACACUUUUGGGGAAAAAAAUGGAAAAUGAAGUCUGGUGGAGAUAGGGAGGCAGAGACAGAGUGAAGAAGUGGUGAGCACAGCAAGGUUUUGACUUUUGAAGACAACCCCACCUGGGUCCAUCUUUCCCCAUUCUGCAUCUGAAGAGGAAAGGCAGGCCAUCUUCAGGAGCAGGGGAGCAUGGACACCUGAUCAUGGGAUGAGAAUAAAUACCAACAUAAGCUCUGUGCA
ensembl:lncRNA